AAAGUCUCCUUUUUCCCUAGAGGGUCCUCUGAUCCAAAGUUAUGGAAAGUAAUAGAGAAGGCAGAUUGAAGAACUGAUGCAUGGAUGAGAUUUUUGAUACUAAGCCCCAACCUGUGCUCUGAAUUCCACAGACAAAACUGUGCUGAUGUACUCUUUCCUUCUGUCCCUUUGGAGCUGAGAAUUGUAUAUUCAAUUAAGAGAUUAGAAGGGUGUCAGGGAAACAGAACUAUGAAUCAGAAGAUGUGACUGUCUCUAUACCCUGCCAACCAGCCUUGUGACCUUGAUGGUUUUCUCAAGGCUUUGAAGUAAAGGUGCAAAUCAACACACUGACUAUAGUCGGAUCUACCCCAGAAAGCUAUUUCCUGGAGAAAGUCACAUCAUACAUACAGGCAAGAGCAUGAUGG
rnacentral:lncRNA from 1 species